CACGGGCGAGGAGACGGGCCCCGUCCCGUCCCGCCGCGCCGGCCCUAUCGUUCUCCGGCAUCGGGGCGCGUUUCCAGUUUCUCCUCAGCCGGCACCAAGGAGCACGAGGAGUUCAGCCUCUGACAGAUGGACCCCCCCACAUCGGCCUGCUGCAUCUCAAGCGGUCCCCUGUUUACACGACCAUUCCCACCUUGGAGCGUGGGAGACCCACCCCAGUUGCUAACCCCCUCUUGGAGCUGCUGGCUGUACCUUCUGGCCCCCGCUGCAGAAAACAUAAAAAGACGCCACCCCAGUGGUUCCUCCAGCCUGCCCACUGUUCCCCCGGCCGGGGCUGUGUGCCUGCAGCCACACCGCACCCCACUCCAGCCCACGGGCUUGAGGCCCACCUCAGCCUGCGCUGAGCAACCCCACCUCACUUGCAACCUUGUCUUGGCCCCGUGACUCCCGGGGAACCCGGCUGUGCCUUGAGAUCUUCGUGAUAGCCAAGAAGCCCGCAUCUGAUACGAACAGAGCAGCUUUAUGUCAAUAAUGGUAGUCACAUACUGUGGUUGUUACUCAAUAAAACCAAUAAAGAAAAUGAAACAGUU